rnacentral:rRNA from 1 species
UACGGAGGGUGCAAGCGUUAUCCGGAUUCACUGGGUUUAAAGGGUGCGUAGGAGGGCAGGUAAGUCAGUGGUGAAAUCUCCGAGCUUAACUUGGAAACUGCCGUUGAUACUAUCUGCCUUGAAUAUUGUGGAGGUGAGCGGAAUAUGUCAUGUAGCGGUGAAAUGCUUAGAUAUGACAUAGAACACCAAUGGCGAAGGCAGCUCGCUACACAUAUAUUGACUCUGAGGCACGAAAGCGUGGGGAUCAAACAGG